ACGGAGGAUGCGAGCGUUAUCCGGAUUUAUUGGGUUUAAAGGGUGCGCAGGCUGUCGUGCAAGUCAGCGGUCAAAUGUCGGGGCUCAACCCCGGCCUGCCGUUGAAACUGCAUGGCUGGCGUGAGUGUGAGGUAGGCGGAAUGCGUUGUGUAGCGGUGAAAUGCAUAGAUAUGACGCAGAACUCCGAUUGCGAAGGCAGCUUACCAACACUUUACGGACGCUGAGGCACGAAAGCGUGGGUAUCGAACAG
rnacentral:rRNA from 1 species